UUGUUCAUUCGACAGGCAAGCAGGGUAGAGCGUUGACGUGCUUUAAAUCGUUUUAUUUUUCUGCUCAACCACAUUUAAUUGUGAAAGUUAUUUUAUUUUUGCACCAUAUUUGCAUUGGCAAUUUGUUAAAUAUGGACAGUCAAGACGAGAGGCGUGAUCGCAUAGUCGGCGAAGAUAGAGCUGACAAUGUAAAUGGACACACGGAGCGACCACGUGGUAGCGGUCACGAAGGUAGGCCCUCGGGGGGUAGGGAAGAAUUGUUUGACGUGUUUGGUCUAUUUAGAAGCUACUUUGAUUCACAUUUGUCAUCGUUAACAAGGGAUAUUACAAGCCAUAAAAAUGUUGAUAAAAUUGAUGUGCCUGCUUUCAAGAGUGCCUCAUGUAAACAUCAGUUCGUAUUCAAUACUGAAAUCUGCUCUUUGCUUCAAUGUAUAUUGAACAGCGAUAGUCUUGGCUUUGCUAAAGAAAAGGUAAAAGAAGGUUUGAAAAAACUAACUAACAGAAAUAAACUUGUCAGGUUAGCUGAUUCUUACCCCGGAUCUGGGCCACUGUUGCUGAAUAUGAAAAACCAGUAAUAGGGUCGGAUAGUGAUGAUGAAAAGAAAAUAAAUAAAGCCGAGGCUAGAGCUGUCAAAAAACUGAAAUCAAAUCCUUCUAAUUCGUUGAAUGUACGUUCUGUUUUCAAUCGUUUGGCUGAUCGACCAUCUGCUUCCGCUUCCCCGGCUCCACCAGCGCAGGAUCCUUUUGUUGGUCCUCUUUUCCCAUCUCGUCCGAUGGCUAUGGAGGUCGAGCGCCGACAGUUUUUUCGGCCCUAUCCAGCCAGAGCCGGCGCCAACACCACGUGCUUCGCUUGUGGACGACAGGGCCAUUUCCGGCGCGAGUGCGAGUGAGUUAACCGUUUCCAGGGAAACAUCGUGCCUAGACGUGAGACCGGAAAUCCAGAUAGAAAACCUAUCAUAUUAUAAGUAUAUUGCUGGUUUAGACAUUUCUGACAUUGAUGCGCAUUGUGAAGAAAAGUAUCAGUUAUCACAUUCUUCAACUGUAAAAGGCAGUUUAAAGAGACAUGUUCGUUUUUGGAAAAGCAUCGGUGCCAACCCUGAUAUAAUUGACUGUAUUGUAGGCGGUUACAAAUUACCAUUAAUAGAAUUACCUGAAAAAUGUGUAUCUGCAAAUAACCAAUCAGCUUUAAAGCAUAUAGAUUUUGUAAACGAGUCCGUGCAGGAUAUGUUAAAUAAUGGCUUUAUUGUAGAAUCAAUAGAAAUCCCUCAUGUUGUAAGUCAAUUAAGUGUAGCCGUAAAUGCAGCCGGCAAGAAAAGGUUGAUUUUAGAUUUACGAUUUGUUAAUAAAUACAUAUGGGAAGAAAAAAUGACUUUCGAAGACUGGAAAACGGGGAUUGAAUAUUUUGAUCCGAAUUGUUUUUGCUUCAAGUUUGAUUUGUCAAAAGGUUAUUAUCAUUUGGACAUAUUUUCUGAACACCAGAAGUAUUUGGGAUUUUCUUUAAAUGGUAAAUACUAUGUUUAUACAGUGGUUCCUUUUGGUUUGUCGUGCGCACCUUUUUGUUUUGUUAAGUGCCUUAGGGAUAUCAUUAAAUACUGGCGUUUUAAUGGCAUAAAAAUUGUAUUUUUUUCUUAGAUGACGGUUGGUGUACUAAUUCUAAUAUCGAAAAUGCAACACAAGAUGCAAAUUUUGUUCGAAACACAUAACACGAAGCUGGAAUUGUAAUCAAUGAGGAAAAGUCAAUAUGGAUACCAGUUCAGAGGCUAGAAUGGAUGCCUUUAAGAUGGGUCGCUGGAUCAGCAGAGAAUGUCUUCCAUCACAAUUGCAAACGUCUGAAGAAAUUCUGAAGGAUUUGGUCAAAACAGCAAAGUCAGAUAACACCUACAAACAUGAGUGUUCAGAGAGUAGAAGGAUGACUUAAGAUAGAAAGGGGCAUUGGUUCCGGACAUUAACGAGUAUACUUGUUAUACUCCAUUUUUCACAGUUCUAUGUAUAAUGACACUUAUUUGCCAUUCAUUCCUUAUGGCAAUGUUUUUUUUGGAACCAGUGUUUGUGCGUGUGUUUUCAAGAAAUAAAUUACCCUGCUUGUCAUGACACCUA